UGCAAGUCGGACGAGAAGGUACCUUCGGGUACUGGAGAGUGGCGCACGGGUGAGUAACGCGUGGGGACCUACCUCUUAGUGGGGGAUAACGGUUGGAAACGACCGCUAAUACCGCAUACGCCCUUCGGGGGAAAGAUUUAUCGCUAAGAGAUGGACCCGCGUUGGAUUAGAUAGUUGGUGAGGUAAUGGCUCACCAAGUCGGCGAUCCAUAGCUGGUUUGAGAGGAUGAUCAGCCACACUGGGACUGAGACACGGCCCAGACUCCUACGGGAGGCAGCAGUGGGGAAUAUUGGACAAUGGGGGCAACCCUGAUCCAGCCAUGCCGCGUGAGUGAAGAAGGCCUUCGGGUUGUAAAGCUCU
rnacentral:rRNA from 1 species